rnacentral:sRNA from 1 species
UAUUCCCCAUUCAGGGGAAGGUUGAGAACCUUCGCCAAGGUUCGAGUUGAGCGCAACGAAACAACAACGCGACGCUUGCGACGCGUUGGCCCGCAAGGGCGAGGAACGCAGUGACGAGUCAUCCUUCCCCCACCACCA